CGUGGUGUCCGGUGCGCCCCCG
rnacentral:siRNA from 1 species